AGAGUUUGAUCAUGGCUCAGAACGAACGCUGGCGGCAGGCUUAACACAUGCAAGUCGAGCGCCCCGCAAGGGGAGCGGCAGACGGGUGAGUAACGCGUGGGAAUCUACCGAGCCCUGCGGAAUAGCUCCGGGAAACUGGAAUUAAUACCGCAUACGCCCUACGGGGGAAAGAUUUAUCGGGGUUUGAUGAGCCCGCGUUGGAUUAGCUAGUUGGUGGGGUAAAGGCCUACCAAGGCGACGAUCCAUAGCUGGUCUGAGAGGAUGAUCAGCCACAUUGGGACUGAGACACGGCCCAAACUCCUACGGGAGGCAGCAGUGGGGAAUAUUGGACAAUGGGCGCAAGCCUGAUCCAGCCAUGCCGCGUGAGUGAUGAAGGCCCUAGGGUUGUAAAGCUCUUUCAACGGUGAAGAUAAGACGGUAACCGUAGAAGAAGCCCCGGCUAACUUCGUGCCAGCAGCCGCGGUAAUCG
rnacentral:rRNA from 1 species